UACAGGGGGUGCAAACGUUGCUCGGAAUUAUUGGGCGUAAAGCGCGCGUAGGCGGUCUCUUAAGUCGGAUGUGAAAGCCCUCGGCUCAACUGAGGAAGUGCACCCGAAACUGAGAGGCUUGAGUACAAAAGAGGGUCGCGGAAUUCCCGGUGUAGAGGUGAAAUUCGUAGAUAUCGGGAGGAACACCGGUGGCGAAGGCGGCGACCUGGGUUGAUACUGACGCUGAGGCGCGAAAGCGUGGGGAGCAAACAGGAUUAGAUACCCUGGUAGUCCACGCCGUAAACGAUGAGUGCUAGAUGUUUCUGGUAUUGACCCCGGAGGCGUCGUAGCUAACGCGUUAAGCACUCCGCCUGGGGAGUACGGCCGCAAGGCUAAA
rnacentral:rRNA from 1 species